UACGUAGGGUGCAGGCGUUAAUCGGAAUUACUGGGCGUAAAGCGUGCGCAGGCGGUUUGCUAAGACAGGUGUGAAAUCCCCGGGCUUAACCUGGGAACUGCGCUUGUUACUGGCAGGCUUGAGUGUGGCAGAGGGGGGUGGAAUUCCGACGUGUAGCAGUGAAAUGCGUAGAGAUGUGGAGGAACACCGAUGGCGAAGGCAGCCCCCUGGGCUAACACUGACGCUCGAUGCACGAAAGCGUGGGGAGCAAACAGG
rnacentral:rRNA from 1 species